GACGAACGCUGGCGGCGUGCUUAACACAUGCAAGUCGAACGGAAAGGCCCUGCUCUUGCGGGGUGCUCGAGUGGCGAACGGGUGAGUAACACGUGAGUAACCUGCCCUUGACUUUGGGAUAACUUCAGGAAACUGGGGCUAAUACCGGAUAGGAGCUCCUGCUGCAUGGUGGGGGUUGGAGAGUUCCGGCGGUUGGGGAUGGAAUCGCGGCUUAUCAGCUUGUUGGUGGGGUAGUGACUUACCAGGGCUUUGACGGGUAGCCGGCCUUAGAGGGUGACCGGCCACAUUGGGACUGAGAUACGGCGCAGAAUGCUACGGGAGGCAGCAGUGGGGAAUAUUGCACAAUGGGCGGAAGCCUGAUGCAGCAACGCCGCGUGCGGGAUGACGGCCUUCGGGGUGUAAACCGAUUUCGCCUGUGACGAGGCGUGAGUGACGGUAAUGGGUAAAGAAGCACCGGCUAACUACGUG
rnacentral:rRNA from 1 species